rnacentral:snRNA from 1 species
GUAACCGUUUCAGGUCUGAAUGUGACAUCUGUCACCCCAUUGAUCACCAGGGUGAUUUGGCUGAUCUGACUGUUUAGGCGGGUGUCACCUUCCCUCACUGCUCCAUGUCUGUCCCUCCAAAAGAUGCAUGCUCAAUCAAAGAGGAAGACCACCCCUGAUAGAAGAGGGCCAUUUCCUUCGCCAAGGGUAUAAGAGUAGCUGCACUGUCUUGCUACAACCUCCAAAUACGCUGUCAAAGUCCUAACAGUUUCAGGCUUGCUAAAAAGUCCAAGUCCAAACUCUCCUGAGAUUUAAGGCAAACUCUU